UACGGAGGGUGCGAGCGUUGUCCGGAAUCACUGGGCGUAAAGGGCGCGUAGGUGGCGCGACAAGUCAACGGUGAAAGCUCGGCGCUCAACGCCGAGUCGGCCGUCGAUACUGUCGGGCUGGAGCACUGUAGAGGCUCAUGGAAUUCCGGGUGUAGCGGUGGAAUGCGUAGAGAUCCGGAAGAACACCGGUGGCGAAGGCGGUGAGCUGGGCAGUUGCUGACACUGAGGCGCGACAGCGUGGGGAGCAAACAGG
rnacentral:rRNA from 1 species